rnacentral:rRNA from 1 species
UACGAAGGGGGGCUAGCGUUGUUCGGAUUUACUGGGCGUAAAGCGCACGUAGGCGGAUCUUUAAGUCAGGGGUGAAAUCCCAGAGCUCAACUCUGGAACUGCCCUUUUGAUACUGGAGAUCUUGAGUUCGAGAGAGGUGAGUGGGAAACUGCGAGUGUAGAGGGUGAAAAUUCGUAGAUAUUUGCAAAGAAACACCCAGUGGCGAAAGGGCGGCUCACUGG